rnacentral:misc_RNA from 1 species
AAAAAGGAAACAAUUAUACCCCUAAACAACAAACCAGCGCGUAACGACUGAAAAGUCGUUCUUGCUUCUGCUUGCAUACUCGAAUAUCUCUCUUUCGUCUCUCAUCCCUGUCUCAAUUCUGAUAGAUCAGUUUCUUCCUUCGUUAAAGCUACUAUUUGUGAGUAACAAACACUUUCCUAUCGCAGAUCGAGUGAAAAGUCUACUG